rnacentral:tRNA from 1 species
GGCCUCGUAGCUUAACGGAUAGAGCAUCUGACUACGGAUCAGAAGGUUAAGGGUUCAAAUCCUUUCGAGGCUA